AUGCUGUUUCUUGUCUCAUUGCAGCACAUGGGUAAGGGUGAUGACGCUAUACGUGAGGCACUUUAUCAUCUUCGAGACCUCAUGGAUUAUGCACAUCUCUUCACAUUUAACAUGAACGUGAUAUACAUACCGAAUGUGCAUAUUGAAAGCGGGGAGAUGUGCAACUGUAAAGAGUUCAUUGCUCAAGAGCUUCUGAAGACGUUAGUUUCAGCAGAAAUCACUGAUCAAGACGCUGCUGCUGAACCACGCACUGCACUUAGACUGUUACAGCACAAUAUCAGAUUUCUCCUUCAGAAUUCGAUUGGAGAACACUGUCUAAAAGACAAAGUCAUGGUUCACAAGAUUAAUUUGAGGAUUAAUCAAGAGUUGAUGUUCAUUCGUCGAUGUUUCACAUUUUUCCAGGAUUGGAUGUUCAAAUGCACAACCAGCAGUGACUUUUGAUUUCUGAUUAAUUCCCUUUGACUGCUGUCGAGAUUAUUACAUUAAAUAACUGUUUAAGUACCUAUUACUUUUAUAAAUGGCCUAACAGGACAAGAUCUAAUAUUGAUAGAAGCUGUAAAACCAUGUUACUAUGUGAUUUGUUUCUCAAUAUUGCAAUAAAUAAUAAUGAGUGACC
rnacentral:lncRNA from 12 species